UUUUGUUCAACCAAGGAAGUGCCAUUCCACCACAGCCAGACUUUCCCUGCAUACAGCCAAAGCCCAAACAUGAGCUGCCAAAACUCAUACAACAGGGAAACCAGAGCACUUCAGACACCAAAAAUCUUGUCCUAGAUCCUGUCAUCUGUGCAGAGCCUGUGCUUUAUUACCCGGCUGUGUUAAAUACUUGAUUCAGAUGAACAAACCCCCACAACAACAGUGAUUAAUUCUCAGCAGCAGAAGCGACAGCAGGGACAACCUGAUCACUCGUCAGAUCAGACAAUCCGGAUGUGAGAGCAGCCUGAGGAACUGCUUGACUCCAACCAUCUCUGAGAGGGGGAAAAGGAGCAACAUCCUGUCCUGCUAUCCAGGCAAUGGCAGCAGAGCUAGUGAGUCACUUAAACUUAAACCAUAAGAGGGAAUGGUAACAACAACGUCAGAAAUUUUGACAUUUGCUUCAUUUAUGUUUAAAGCUGUGACAACAUCAAAGCCCUGAGAAGAAGGAGAGCUAAAUGAAAACAGAAAUGUCAACAUCAAUAUUCCUGUUCACCUCAUCUCACCUUACCUUCAGCAGUAAUGUUUAGUUUAAUGUUAAUUCUAACAAAUAACAGGGGUAAUGUUUUAGUUUGACCGUGAAACGUAAUAUUCAAUCUAAUGUCAACUCGUCCUGGCAGAAGGCUGGAAGAAUCUGUUGCCACAGCAGCGUUACUGACUGUCGAAUCACAGACAAUUUUUUUCAGCUGUUUCAAUUCAUCACUUUGAAAUUAAUAAAAUCAUCUUUAA